rnacentral:lncRNA from 1 species
CAAACACCGCAAAAGAGAUACCUACGUUGCUGCGGACUUACACCGUCAAUAUAGUGCAUUCUUACAUAUGAACCGGGUUUACAGCACCGUUCGACUCCCAAUCGAUAUUUCCACCUAAUUUUACAAAAAAAACCUCUCAGGAAGCAGACAUCCCUACAAAUCUUAUUGUCAACCCUCUGCCGCUUAUAAAAUUAAAGCAUACUGAUCCAAAAUACCUCGUCAAUUAGUGGAAAUGUGAGUAAAAUAUAUUUCUAAUUUUAAAGGUUACACAUCACGAAAAUACUUGAAAUUAAAUUAUACCUUUUCAAUAAAUGUGGUAUGCAUAACAUGAAUUCAAUUUUAAGUAAAUGAAUAUUUAACAAUAGUUUGUAAAGAAUGAAAAAAACAAAUAUAAAUCUGCAAUUAUCUGUACCAUUUUGGAUUUCAAGUCAAAAACUUAAAGAAUUUUCCGUUUAGGUUCGAUUUAAUGCAGUGAACUAUUAAAACAGAAAAACGACCAAACUAUAUAUUUUACCUUGAGAAGACAUUAAUCUGCCAAGUGCGUUUUAAUGAGCUCAUUUUUAGCGAAAUUUAGUAUCAUUAGCGGCAAACUCACACAGGUAAGUAGCAGAAAGAUAUGCGCCAGGUUCAGCACGUGGUCAACACGCCCCCAAUGACCCAAAUCUGUUGCCAGUUUUACCAAGAAAAGCAGAGGUAGGGUAAACAGCGAAUGGAUAUGAAGCAUUUCUCAGAAAAAGAUGUUCCGAUUUGUUUGAUUACAGGAAAAUAUUUUCCAUACCAAAUGACUGGCAAAUUUUGUCCCUUGCUCUUUCGAAGACUCACCUGAAAUGGCGCGGCGUGGUGCUUCUUUGCAGUGCCUACCUAAAAACAUCAAUAAUGCUUCCUCCAUCCACACGAAGAGCGGAGAGAGUAAAAACCCAGUUGGCAACCAAGAAACGGUGGAGGCGCUAAAGGCUGGAAGUAAGAGUAUACUGGGCCAGGGCGGUAAUAGCAUUUGAAUGUAGAGGAUGGUCCCAGGAGAAUUUGACCGCACCCCCGCACGUACCGAAUGAUGACAACCUCAAAAAGAUUUGUUUGACGGAGCUCCUCUCCUCUGCUAGCCCGACAUUUUGCUCCAGGCAUGAACUUAUUGUGUAGUAUACAAAUAUACUAUUAUAAUUAUUGG